GGGUCAGGAUGGGGCACCUGGGGGUCAGGAUAUGGCACCCAGGGGUCAGGAUGUGGCACUGGAGGCUGCUGGACACCCCCCAGGCUGGGGGUGCUGAGGGGUGUCCGGUGCAGGGGGCAGUUGUGUUUUGGUCACUCGGGUGUUGGUGUGUGUCCAUGUCACCCAGGGGUGCCCAUGUCCCUGCCUGUGCCAUGGCUGUGGCUGCCCAUGUCCCUGUGUCCCCAUGUGUCCCCAUGUGUCCCUGUAUCCACACAUGGGGAUGUGGAUAUCUGUGUCCCCGUGCCUGUUCCUGUCCCUGUCACUCUCCUGGUGACAGUUGGUUUCCUGGUCCCUGAGUCCAUCUCUGUCCCUGUCUUGCUGUUGCUGCCUGUUCCCAUUCCCAGUUCUUGUCCCUGUCUUUCUCCCGCUCUCAGUCCCUGCCCCUGUUUCUUUCCUGAUUCCUGUCCUCCUUCUGGUCCCUCUCCCUAUUCCCAUCCUGGUCCUGGUCCUGGCCUUUUCCCCGUGCUGAUCCAACUUCCUGUUGUUCUUUCAGUGCCUCUCCUUGUUCCUGUUUUCCACCUGGUUCCUGUUUCUGUUCCCACCCUGGUCUCAUCCUUGUCCUUGUCCCUGCCCCAUCCCUGUCCCAGUGCUGGUUCCCAUCCCAGUCUCAGCCCUUUUCUGUGUUUAGAUCUCCAUCCUGGUCCCAAUUCCCUGUCCCUGUCUCUCUCCUGGCCCCUGUCCUCUUCCUGGUCCCCAUCCUGGUCUCUGUCUCCAUCACCUUUUUUGUCCCUGCUCUGCCAAGUGUCCAGCUUGGGCAUGGUCCUUGUCCCCGUCUCAGUCUUGGUCCCUGCUCCCUGUCACUGCACCUCUCCUGCUCUCUGUCCUCAUCCUGGUCUGCAUCCCCAUCCCCAUCUCCAUCCCCCCAGCCCCUAUCCCUGUCCCAGUUCCCGUCCUUAUUCCUGUCCCUGUCCUUAUCCCGGCCCUUGUCCUGGUCCCAUCCCGAUCCUGGCCCCUGUCCUUGUCGUGAUCACUGUCCUUGUCCCAAUCCCUGUCCCUGUCCCGAUCCCCAUUCUGAUCCCUGUCCUGGUUCCCAUCCCAAUCCCUGUCCCUGUCCCCAUCCCAGCCCUUGUCCCGAUCAAUGUCCCGGUCCCGUCUCCAUCCCGAUCCUUGUCCUUGUCCCAGUCCCUGUCCUUGUCCUGAUUCCUGUCCCUGUCCUUGUCCCCAUCCCAGCCCUUAUCCUGAUCCUGGUCCUGGUCCCGGUCCCCAUCCUGAUCUCUGUCCUUGUCCUUGUCUCAAUCCCUGUCCUGUCCCANNNNNNNNNNNNNNNNNNNNNNNNNNNNNNNNNNNNNNNNNNNNNN
rnacentral:lncRNA from 1 species